UACGUAGGGUGCGAGCGUUGUCCGGAAUUAUUGGGCGUAAAGAGCUCGUAGGCGGCUUGUCGCGUCGGAUGUGAAAGCCCGGGGCUUAACCCCGGGUCUGCAUUCGAUACGGGCAGGCUAGAGUGUGGUAGGGGAGAUCGGAAUUCCUGGUGUAGCGGUGAAAUGCGCAGAUAUCAGGAAGAACACCCGUGGCUAAGGCGGCUCUCUAGUACGGUACUGACGCUGAGACGCGAAAGCGUGGGGAGCGAACAGG
rnacentral:rRNA from 1 species